rnacentral:rRNA from 1 species
GACGGAGGAUGCAAGUGUUAUCCGGAAUCACUGGGCGUAAAGCGUCUGUAGGUGGUUCAAUAAGUCAACUGUUAAAUCUUGAGGCUCAACUUCAAAAUCGCAGUCGAAACUAUUGGACUCGGGUAUAGUAGGGGUAAAGGGAAUUUCCAGUGGAGCGGUGAAAUGCGUAGAGAUUGGAAAGAACACCAAUGGCGAAAGCACUUUACUGGGCUAUUACUGACACUGAGAGACGAAAGCUAGGGUAGCAAAUGGG